GAGAAACCGAGGCAGUGGCCAAGGCUAGGGAGGGAACAGGCCACCACACCUCUCAUCUUUGAUUCAGUUUGGCUGCGUCAUUUUAAGUGGUAACUUUGGGUUACUGAUGGGGAAAGCCAAGUUAGAUUGUAGUCAUCUUUCUGUAGUCCGUGGAGAUAGGUGCCCUCAGAGGAAGAAUGGGGAUAUCACUGAGUGAGUACAGUUCCACCGAGGGCCCAUCUGGUGGCACUGUUUGCUGAAGUCUUUAUUUCACAGACAGAAGGACAAAUCCUACACAAGGAAAAGAGAAG
rnacentral:lncRNA from 13 species